UUCACACAUGCUCCUCUAUUUUCCUCUAUCUAUUUUUUCUUUCUUUCCCUUUCGCCCUUUUUCCAGUCAUUUGUGUGUUUAAAUAGAUCAAAACACUUCUUCAACCAUAAUUUCCACCUUCUGAUACAAAGGAGAACAGAAAAGAAUAAAAUUGGUUGGACGUUGGACAAGCAUAGGACGUGUUAAGAGCUGUUCCUGGUGCUCACUGGGUGUAACAGCCACUCCAUGUGGAAAACUAUUGAAGUGCCAGUGGAGAAGCUGUUACCUGCAGAGAGUCACAUGUGACGGAAGCCGGAAGUGCUGCAUGUGAAUCCUUUACCCCCUCCAUGCCUUAUCCUGCACAUUGAACUAAGUUAUCAUCUACAUUAUUAUAAUGUAUCAAUUAUAAUGCAUUUGUAUACAUUUACAAAUAUGUGACAUGGUAAUGUCAUUAUCAAUGGUAAUACAAGAACAUGGUUUGUAAAAUGCAUUUAGAAAUAAAUAGAUAUAUGUAACCUUUAACAAUAAAAUACAAUAAAGUAUUAAUGUGAGUUCUGUCAGUU